GUAUUGCAAGAGAACACUCAGAUCGAGCCAAGUGAACCCGAAAACCAAGAAGAAAAGAAACUCUCCCAGGAGGAACUGGAGGCAAUGAUGACAAAAGCUGACAAUGAUAAUAGAGAUCACAAAGAAAAGCUGGAGAGGUUGACUCGACUACUAGACCUUAAGAAUAACCGUAUCAAGCAGCUGGAAGGUAUUUUAAGAAGCCAUGACCUUCCAACAUCUGAACAGCUCAAAGAUGUUGCUUAUGGCACCCGACAGUUGUCGUUAUGUUUGGAAACACUGCCAGCCCAUGGAGAUGAGGAUAAAGUGGAUAUUUCUCUGCUGCGUCAGGGAGCUGGUGGAGAAGAGUUCGGGGUUCUAGAGUACUGGAUGAGGCUGCGUUUCCCCAUAAAACCCAGCCUACAGGCAUGCAAUAAACGAAAGAAAGCCCAGGUCUACCUGUCAACCAAUGUGCUUGGAGGCCGGAAGGCCCAGGAAGAGGAGAUCCUAGGCUUCACCUACAACACUCUCAAGCUGCCCUUUUCCUCAAUCCAUGACCAACAUCUUUCCAGUUCAGAUCGGAGUCUUGGGAACCUCAGAACGAGCUGU
rnacentral:sRNA from 1 species